rnacentral:lncRNA from 1 species
UCGGAGAAGAUGAAGUUUCUGGUGGCUUCAUCGUGUCCAGUUUGAAUCUGGACCGCUUGAUCUGAUUUCCAGAUGCAAUCAGGAGCGUUGCCUGUUAUGACUUUUUAUUUCUUCACGUGUGCACGCAUUGACCGUGGUGUGUCAUGAGCGUGCGCCUCUGGAUCCUUGGAACUGCCAGCUCAAUUAAUGAGCUCAGAUCCAAGGGCUUUCGUUUUUUUGCAUUUUCUGAAUUUUUUUAUUUUUGUUUAAUUCCUUUUAUUUCAAAAAAUCAUAUCUUUUUCAUUUUUAAUCCAAAAAUUAUGGGGCCAAUUGCAUUAUUUCCCAAAUAAAUUCUAGUUUCUAUUUAUGAUUUUUAAUAUUUUUUUAUUUUGUCAUUUUACAUUUUUUGUGAAUUUUCUCUUUUCUGGUUAUUUUUAAUUCAUUUUAAAUAGUUUUUGAUAUUCAAAAAAUACAAAAAUAUUUUCCGAACCUUUUGAAUGAUGAUGGAUCUAUGAAAAAUAUUCUCAUCAACUUUGAAUUGAUUUGAGAUUAUUUUGAGAUUUUAGUUCAAUUAGGUUAUUUUUAUUCAUUUUUAAUUGAUUAAAAAUAGUUUCUGACUUUUAAAAUGCUGAAAUUUUUGUCAAACUUUGUUUGACCUUGUUGAACUUAGGAUAAAUCACUUGGACUUUUCAAAGUUGAUUUGAAGUGAUUUGAAGUUUGACCUUUCUUUUAUUUUUGCAUUCAGUUUAUUUUUAAAUAUUAAAAAAUGCCAAAAAUAGUUUAUUCAUUUCUUGACUUCCAAUCUUCAUCUCACUUCUGUUUUUGAUUGUUUGACCUUGACUUUCAAUGUUAUUGGUCAACAUAUGAGGAUUUGUACAUGAUAUUCCAUUUAAUGCAUUUUAUUUUGUCAUUUUCAUUUUCUCUUAUCCAUCUUCUCCUUCUUCUUCUUCUACUUCUUUUCCUUUUGAUCAAUGAGUUGAAGGUUGAUAAGUUAGCAUUAAUUAGGGAGAUUUAACAUUCCUUGACUCAAAUCUAAUUCAUCUUGAUCAAUUGAUCAAGUGAAUGGCUUUGCAUUAAGGAUAUGUUGUCUUCUAAAUCAUGCAAAAGGCUUAAACCAAUACAAGAUCAUUCUCUUCUUCUUUUUGGCAUGGCAAGUUGUUGGGACUUGGUUCACUAAUCAAGACUCCUAACUUGUGUUUGUUGCCUACAUUAUUAUUGACCGGCCUCAGAUAGUUGUGACUUCUACAUAAGUCCAAUCUUCUUCUUUUUGGCAUGGCAAGUUGUUGGGACUUGGUUCACUAAUCAAGACUCCUAACUUGUGUUUGUUGCCUACAUUAUUAUUGACCGGCCUCAGAUAGUUGUGACUUCUACAUAAGUCCAACUACGAUUGCUUAACAUAGCGUUAAAUUUUGCCUUAUGGCAUACUAACCAUUAACCACUAACAAUUAACUUUUACUUUAUGCACUUUACUUUCUUGCAAUUUACAAUUCUUGCACAUAUUAUUCAUUUGCUUUUUUUCCUUUACUCAUUUGAGCACAUGUUUAUGUUAGUGCCAUUUGCCUUUUGCCCACUUGGGUUUAUAAUUGUGUACAUAUCUUUUGUGUUUGUGUUUGUUUGUUUGUUGUGACCAAAUGCAAAAGAAUUGGACAAUAUGGACUUAGAAUUUAGGACCCAUACCCAAGCAAAUGGAGUUUGAAGAGCAACUAGGCCUUAUGCCUUUAGAGUGCUUAAAUGUCAAAGAGCAACUAGGCCUCCUGCCUUUAGAAUGCUUAAAGCUUAAGGAAGAACUAUGAAAGGACCAUAUUCUAAACUCCCUCUUGUCCAUUCUUUGAUUUGUUUAUAGAACUUUUUGAUGUGUGUUUUCUUGUGCUAGGGGAUUCCAACUUUGAGUAACUUUGAGGAACCAUUACCAUGAGCAUCCAAAGUGAGAGACACAAGAGCCAUUGGAGGAUUCCUAGAAGCUUGAUUUGUGUGUUUGAUUGCUUCAAAUAUUUGCUUGUGAUUUCUUAAUUCCAAAGGAUGGGAGCUACUUGGAUCAUCAAUAUGAUCUCAAGAGAGGAACUCCUAGUGUGGUUCAUUUUCUUAUCCCUCACCUUUUAUUUCAUUUAGGACUUAGCCAUUCUUCUUCUUCUCUCCACUCUAACCUAAGCCAAAACUUUUUGUGCAAACAUUUUACUUGUUUUAACAUUAGAAACCUAAGCCUUAUGCUUUUGAUUUUCAAACUUUCUUUUCAUAAUACUUAUUUUGAAUUGAACCUUUUAAUUCACUUUGACAAUUUUUGUAUAUACUUCUAAUUGGUAAAUAUAAUUCAUUCAAAUUUCUUUUGUGGUUUCAAUGGCCACUUUCUUAAUCAAAUUUUUCAUAACCUUUAGCUAUUAGGUUUGAGUUAUCUUUGUGGUAGAUAUAAUACUCACCUUUGUCCUUAGUGAUGGAUAAUGAGCCUUCCAUGCUUAUUAUAGGGUUAACCCCUCACUAGCAUGUUGAAGCUAUCCUCACAUGGUGGACUUGUGGUUUCAGGUUGAGUUUUCUCCUUUUGAUAACAAAAGACCUUAAGGCUUUUGGACCAAUCAAUCCACUCACUCAUUUUGAGAUUUUUACCCCGAACUACGAGGUUUUGAUCCUAAUCUUUUUUUUAAGAUGGUACGUAGGAAAUGGGUUAAUCCAUUCAAACACAAAAAUGUAAAUAAACUUGUAUAUUCUUCUCUCAUCCCUUCAAUCAUGUUUGCACAAAAUAAACUUUCACAAAAUGCCAACCUUACAACAAUUGUGAAAAGGGCUCCCUAGGAGUACCUAGGAUGUUUUUGGUGCCUAACACCUUCCCAUUGCAUAACCAACCCCCUUACCCAGAUCUCUGUUUCUUUUACUAGUUUUUGUUAAAACUUUUAGGUUUUUGUUUGCUUUCUAACCAUUCCUUUGGAUAAAUAGAAGUGAGUUUCUUUUACUAGUUUUUGUUAAAACUUUUAGGUUUUUGUUUGCUUUCUAACCAUUCCUUUGGAUAAAUAGAAGUGCGGUGGCGACUCGACUUUGUAUGAUUUACCUUGGAUUUAGUCAAUAUCUCUAAUGGUAACGAAUACCCCGAUACAGUUAGGAAAAAGGUAAUGAUGAUUCUGAUGUCACCAGACAGUUGGAGAAACUGAAAAGUAUUACAACAUUGGAACACUUGGCACAAUGUCAUAGUUGUUAAGGCGUUGAAGCAAGGUCUCAAAAAAAUUAUUUCUCUCUCGUAUGUCGAAAAUAACAUAUUUGGGGGGCAAUUUUCUAGCUCAUAGUUUAUUAGCCCACUAAAGAAUUACCAAAAGGGAAAUCCUAGGUAGAGAUGUUUCAACCAGGAGGAGAUGUUCGAUUAGGUAGAGGUGUUUCGACUGGAUAAGGGUAAUAAGAGUCAGCGUGCAGUUGGGACUUCAUAAGUAUUUCUUAAAAUGGUUGAAGACGGUUUUCAAUUGGAGAUUCAAAAUUCAAAUAAAGGAAGGAACUUUGCUCUUAUCUAAAAAUGUUGAGGGUACAUGUGGGGCAUAAUGGAUGGUUACAUCCAUGCAAGGUGCCAUGUGUCUCGACGUGUUUAAGGGACGUUAGAAACAGUUGUUUCGAUUAAGUAUAAAUAAAGGGUAUUAGUGUUAGGAUAAAGUGUGUCAAAGCGUGUAUAGAGUCUGUUAAUUUACCAAGUACUCGUAUGAAGAGGAACAAUAAAUCAAAGAAUGUACAUUUGUUUACACCAUUUUUAGUUAUUUUAAAGCAAUGCAAAUUCAUCUUUAUUUUCUUCCAGAAAUACAUUUCUUUACUUCUUUAUUCCAAACACUCUCCUUUUACUUCGUUAUUUCAUAGUCUUAAUAUUUCUUUGCUUUAAACACUUACUAUUGCCACUUAGUUAUCAUCAUAGUAUUUUACAAUUUCUCUCCUUAAUUCAUAUUACCCUUUUACCGUAAAUUUUUAGUCACUAAUCCCACGAAUACUGUCGAAGUGUUCAUGAUUACUAAAAUUUAUUUUUAAAAACAGUUAACACAUGUCCUAGGAUCAAUCUGAUCGACCCUGUGAGUAACCAAAUUUAGAAAUUUGGAAAAUUAACGGUUGUUAACUAAUUUUCAAGGUAAACACUAACCUAUCAAUUCCGAAUAAUUGAGGGAAAAUGUGAUAAAUUCAUUGGUUUGAUCUCCAAUUAUAAUACAAUUAGAAUCCAAUUAAUUCUAAAUAAUUGUCAUCUUACCUAUUAGUUUCUAAAUUAUAAUAUAAUUAGAGUUCAAGUUAAUUUUUAAUAAUGAUAAAAUUGAAUUAGUCAAUUAUUUAAUAGAUAACUAAACAGUCAUAUCAAUCAGUUUUAAACGGGAUGAAUUGUGAGUUAUAGAGAACUUAAAAUCAUUAUAAAAUUUUAUUAUUAUAUUCACCAAAAUGUGUAACUCAAUUUCAUCCUUUCAUCUUCAAUUUAGUUCUCAUGAUUUCAUUUUAUUGUUUAUUAAUAAAAUUAAAAUUAAUUACAUAUGGAUAGUCAAAAGUAUAAUAUAAUAGAAUUCAAUUAGUUUUUCAAUUUUCAGUGAAAAUGUUAAAUAAUUUAAAUAUUAUUUAUUAUAAAUAAUUUAAAUAUUAUUUAUUAUAAUCAUUAUUGAAUUUAAUUGGGAACAACUUUAAAUAUAAUUUAUUGAAAAUAUUUUAUCAACAUUCAGUUUUUUUUAAUAAUAGCAUUAAGUUUUAUGAUAUUAAUAUUUUGAAUAACUUUUUAUAUUGAUUUAUAAAGUUUUGUCUUAGGGUAAUUGUCCUUCUUCUAUUAUUAGUGACAAAUAAACUUUAUUUUUAUAGAGAAUAAAAUUAAGCUUUUUUAGUAAAGAAUAAAACUUAUAUUUUGUUGAUUCAAAUUAAAUGCUGAUAGAUCAAUUUUAAUAAAUAUUAAUUAUGAUUAAUUUCUAGAAUAAUAUUUGUUUUUAUUAAAUAUUUAUCUUAGUAACUUUUUUAUUCCGUGUAAUUUUGUUAAUAUUAGAGAUUAUGGUUAAUAUGUAUAAUACAUUCUACAUAUUUUCUAUGCCCCAAAUUUUUAAAUGUGUAAAAUUUAAUUUUUAUAAUAAUAAUAUAUAAUGUUUACUUUUUUAUUGAAUAUAAUCUAAUAGGCCUUUAUUAUCUAUAUUUAUUAUUUAUAAUUCAAAUAAAUUAGUUUUAUUAUUAAAAAUAAUAAAUAUAAAUAAUUAUUAUCAAGAAUAAAAUAUUGUACAAAAAUAAUAUCUUCUAUUCAUUUUCAUAUGGAUUCUUUUCUAUGUUAUAUUUAGAAACAUUAUAUAAAUAUUUAUAAUAAUAUUAAUGUAUAAGCAAAUGUUUUAUUUUGGUAAGUUUUUGUUAUGGUCCUUGUGAUGCUAUUAAUAUUUGGGAUAAAAAUAUUAUAUGUUGUAUAUAUUUUAAAAAUUGAUUAAAAUAAAAUAGUAUAUUUAUUAUUCAUAAAAAAAAUAUUGACAAAAAAUAUAUAAGAUUAUAUAUUCCAAUAAUAUUGAUAAUACAAAUUAAAUCAAUGUAAACCAAUUACAAAUUUUCCCAUACUUUCACUUCCGUAGAAAAAGUACAACAUUGUAAUCAUAGUUCAUGGUGAUCUUCAAUCUCCACCAUUGAUUUGAUCGGGGACAUGAGAGACAUACUUGUCGUAGUGGUCACGUCAAUAAUACAACCUUCUACUCCAUCAAGAACCAUAUUUAAAUAUGGUUCACAAAUUAGAUAGCAGAUAGUAAAUUACACCAUAGAAAUACAAUCGACAAAUAUAUAAAUAUAACAAAUUUCACUUGAAAUUGUAAAAUUAAUUUGUCAAAUUAAUGCUUAAACUUAGAUAAAAAGAUAAUUUGAUUUAUAUAUCUGUCAUUUUAAAUUUGAGUUGCUUGUGUGAGUGACGUCUUAAAGUUAAUUAUUAAUUAUAAAUUAUAAAGCAGUAAGAAUCUAAUGGACGAUUAAUUGUCAUAAAAUGAAUUAUUAAAUAUGUAAAAUAUGAUUGUCAUAGUAAUAAAUGAAUAUUAUUUCUUGAUUAUAAUACAAUUAGAAUCUAAUUAAUUCUUAAUAAUAAAAAAAUUGAAUUAGUCAAUUAUUUAAUAGAAAAGUAAACAGUCAUAUCAAUCAGUUUUAAAGGGUAUGAAUUAUGAGUUAUAAAGAACUUUAAAUCAUUAUAAAAUUUUAUUAUUAUAUUCACCAAAAUUUGUAACUCAAUUCCAUCCAUUAAUCUUCAAUUUAUUUCUCAAAUGAAAUUGACAAUUUUUUAUUAUCAUUAUGAAAUAAAUAGUUGAAAAUUUGAUGUGAUUUUAUUGUUUAUUAAUAAAAAUUAAAAUUAAUUACAAAUGGAUAGUUAAAAAUAUAAUGUAAUAGAAUUCAAUUAGUUUUCAAUUUUCAGUAAUAAUGUUAUAAAUUUAAAUAUUAUUUAUUACAUUCAUUAUUGAAUUUAAUUGGGAAUAACUUUAAAUAUAAUUUAUUAUAAAUAUUUUAUUAACAUUCAGUUUUUUUUAAUAAUGGCAUUAAGUUUUAUGACAUUAAUGUUUUGAAUAACUUUUUACAUUGAUUUAUAAAGUUUUGUCUUAAGAAUAAUUGUCCUUCUUCUAUUAUUAGUGACAAAUAAACUUUAUUUUUGUUGAGAAUAAAAUUAAGUUUUUUUAUUAAAUAAAAAAAUUAUUUUGUUGAUUCAAAUUAAAUGUUGAUAGAUCAAUUUUAAUAAAUUUUAAUUAUGAAUAAUUUCUAGAGUAAUAUUUGUUUUUAUUGAAUAUUUAUCUUAGUAACUUUUUUAUUCCGUGUAAUUUUAUUAAUAUUAGAGAUAAUGGUUAAUACGUAUAAUACAUUGUACAUAUUUCAUAUGCCUCUAAUUUUUAAAGGUGUAAAAUUUAAUUCUUAUAAUAAUAAUAAUAUAAAAUAUUUACUUUUUUAUUGAAUAUUCUAAUAGGCCUUUAUUAUCUAUAUUUAUUAUUUACAAUUCAAAUGAAUUAAGUUUAUUAUUAAAAAUAAUAAAUAUAAAUAAUUAUUAUCAAGAAUAAAAUAUGAUACAGAAAUAAUAUCUUCUAUUUAAUUUUAUAUUGAUUGUUUCCUAUGUUAUAUUUACAAACAUUAUAUAAAUAUUUAUAAUAAUAUUAGUGUAUAUGUAAAUGUUUUAUUUUGGUAAGUUUUUGUUAUGGUCCUUGUGAUGCUUUUAAUAUUUGGGAUAAAAAUAUUAUAUGUUUUAUAUUUUUUAAAAAUUUAUUAAAAUAAAAUGGUAUAUUUAUUAUUCAUAAAAAAAAUAUUUACCAAAAAAUAUAUAAGAUUAUAUAUUCCUAUAAUAUUUAUAAUACAAACUAAAUCAAUGUGAACCAAUUACAAAUUUCCCCAUAGUUUCACUUUCGUAGAAAAAGUACAGCAUUGUAAUCACAUGUCAUGGUUAUCUUCAAUCUCCAUCAUUGGUUUGAUCGGGGGCAUGAUAGACAUACUUAUCUUAGUGGUCACGUCAAUAAAACAACCUUGUAUUAGGCGAGGGUUUUUAAUGAGGCUUCUUCUUCUAUUAUUCUUAAGAAGACCACCCUUAGAGGCGAUCAAAAUGAUGGUUCCUCAAGAGGGGUCAUUUUCACUCUUAGAGGCGAUCAAAUGUUGGAUCCUUAAGAGGAACCAUUGCCUCUCUUAGAGGCAAUCAAAAUGUUGAAUCCCCAAGACAGAUUUGUGUCGCCUAUAAAGAUAAUCAAAAUGUUGGAUUCCCAGGAGGGGUCUUUGCCUCUCUUAGAGACGAUCAAAUGAUAGAUCCUUAAGAAAGAUCUUUCUCGCUCGUAUGGGAAAUCAGAAUGUUGGAUCCCUAAGAAAAAUCCUUGUCGUCUUUAUAGGUGUUCAAAACGUUGGAUCUCGAAGAGUGAUCCUUGCCUCCCUUGGAGGCAAGCAAAAUGAUGAGUCACCAAGAGGAAUCCUUUCCAUCCUUAAAGGAAAUAAAAAUAUUGGAUCCUCAAGAGGGAUCUUUUCCGCUCUUAGAGGCGAUCAACACGAUGGAUCCCAAAGAUGGGUCCUUACUUCCCUUAUAGGCAAGCAAAAUUAUAGAUCCCCAAGAUGGAUCAUUUUCACCCUUAGAGGAAAUAAAAACUCUGGAUCUUCAAGAAGGAUCCUUACCAACCUUAUAGGCGACCAAAACACUAGACCCCAAGAGGAUCAUGGCUGCCCUUUAAGGCAAUCAUGUGUUGGAUCCGCGUGAGGGAUCUUUGUCACCUUUGAGAAGAUAAUUUUUUUUCCAUAGUUUCAUUUUAGUAGAAAAAGUUAUAUGAGGAGAUAAAUUUUUUUUCCAUAGAUCAUAGUGAUCUUCAAUCUCCACCAUUGGGUUGAUUGGGGACAUGAGAGACAUAUUUGCCGUAUUUUGGUAGCUACCCUUGAGAAACACUUCGAAUACACUAAAAAAUAAAAUAAAAAGGAAAAUUACUGAUAUUCUAUUUCAUCUUUGUGUUUUUAACAUAUUUGAAUAAUUGUAAUUAUAUUUAUGUGUAUAUUAUAUAUAUAUAUAUAUAUAUAUAUAUUAUUGAUAAUAUAUAUAUAUAUAUUAUAUAUAUAUAUAUAUAUAUAUAUAAUAUAUACAUAAUAUUAUAUGGUUUAUUGAAUAUAAUCAACUAUCCGGAGUUUAUGGAAAGGGAAAACUAAACUCUAAUAGGAGAUAUCCAAAAUUAAAUCCCAAAUUAUAUAUAUAUAUAUAUAUAUAUAUAUAUAUAUGAAGAAGAAACUCAAACAAUAAUUAAGGAAAUCCAAAAUUGAAUUCUGCAACAAUAAUAAUCCAAAAUUUAUUUGUUAGUAAUAGUAGGAAGGAAAAAAUUGAACAAAUAAUGGUAGGAAAUAGAAAAUUGAAAUGUAAAUGCCUGAGAUAUUAAAUUGAGUAGGAAAAAGAAAUUGUCAUUUGUAACGUGGUAUUGGAGAAUUAGGAAAGGUGAAAAGGGAGUUUUGGAAGAUGUACACAUACGCUAAUAAGAUUUUUGAAGAAGUUAAUGUUAGGUGUCGCAAAAUAAUUUAAAGCAUUGGAUCAAAAUAAUUUAAAGCAUUGGAUUUAAUAUAUAUAAAUAGAUAAAUAGAUGUGUAUAAAAUUGAUUUAUAAAUGAAAACACAAAUUAAAGCAUAUACUUACUUAUGGAUAAACAGUGACAUGUAACAUUCUUUAUUCUUCUUAACGAACUUGUUUUGUAUUUGCAUAUGGAUACUUUUUGCUGAAUUGCCUUGAAAUUGAACGUUUAAUAGAUCUAUGAAAUAAUACAUUUUCAAUUUCCUUUCAACACAUGUCUCAUGCAGGACCCUAAUUAAAAGUUAAUGCAAAUGUCAACAUUUUUUGUUAAAGUAUGAGAACAAUGAAUAUAAGUUGAAAUCACCGUAAAAAUCAUACUUACCAGCACCACAUUUAUAUUACGGGCAUUUACAACCAAUCAUUUCGCUUCAAUAAUUCCAAAAUAUAACUCUUAUAAAGCAUAAAGUAUGUUUUGGUUCAUGUUUUUAAUUCAAACGAAGAGAAUUCUGGAAUCUUGUCUAUCAUACUAGAUAAUCUUUCAGUGUUAUCUAGUUGAGGUGUUGUGGUCUUAAUAUUGUGAACGGAGACAGCAGAAACUAUCUUUCGUGCUUGUACCACCCAUAAAAACUCUCUUAACUACUUUCCCAGGCAUGUGCAACUGAUAUGGAUUCGGGUGGUUGAGUACACCAUUUGAUUUCAGUUUCUACAUCAUAAAGAAAACCAAAUACAAUAUAAAAGUUAAAAUCCACAAACAAUAACAAUAACAUACAAUUGGACAUGUCUCAAUCAAAUCGCAGAUACACUUCUCUCGGUCAACCUCUCUCGCUCCUUCCGCACCUCCUCCAAUAUCUUUUCUUGUUCCUCCUGCAACGUCCUUCUCGGACGAGCACUCGAAAUCAUCAAGAGUCACCACCAAAGUUUAUUUUUAAAAGGGAAAACAUCUAAAAAAACCUAAAAGAACAAAAAUAUGGUCAUCGCAACCAAAUUCAAAUUUGGGAGUUGAUUAUGUGUUGGGAAGGUAUUAUCAUCCCACACAUCUGUUGUACUCAACGAGAACCAUUUAGUUAGAUUUGUGAAUAAGAGUGUUAGCUUACGUUAUUUAAUUUCUUCUAAUUAUUAUGUUGUAUGAAAUAAAGCGGCAAAAUAAUUUUUUUAUUAGGGUGUUUAACGAGACGCCGAAUCUCGCUCCUACUGAAUGGAUAAAACAUCAUUCAUUUGUGAAAAUUUUUUUGGUCACGCUGAGGAAGAAGUACGUUUGAUGGGUUGAAAUCUUUUUAGGUGGAAGAUGAUUAUUCGAAAGGCAAGAUAUACGGCUAGUAUCCAAAUACUCUAAGAAGAGGAUGGAUAUUACUUCCAACUAAUCUUUUUUCAUUAGAUUUAGUUGUGAAAAAGAUUUGAUAAGAAUUUAAUCAGAGUCUCUCGAAGAUUACGAGUACUCAAAAGGCAAGUUAUAUGGAAGGUGUCUGAAUACUCAGGGAAAAGGAUGGAUAUUACGUCCAACUAAUCCUUUUUCAUCUGAUAAGGAACAUGUUGAACUCGAUUGCGUUAUUAGGUUUUAAAAUGAUAACGAGUAUUCAAAAUGCAAGCUAUACGUCUAGUAUCUAAAUACUCAGGGAAAAGGAUGGAUAUUACGUCUAACUAAUCAUUUUUCAUCCGAUUUUAUUGUGACAAAGAUUUGAGAGAAUGAUAAAUAUUCGAAAGGCAAGCGAUACGGCUUGUAUCCAAAUACUUAGGGGAAAGUGAUGGAUAUUACGUCCAACUAAUCCUUUUUCAUCCGAUUUUGAUUGAGAAAAUGAUUUUGGUUUAAAUGUGAAAAUGCUUGAAUUUUUAUUAGUGAAAAAUGGUUUGGGUUUGAUUGUAAAUAAGUGUGACUUUAUUAUGAAGACAAGUUUGAUCUAGUUUGAAUAUAUAUAUAUGAUUUUGAUAAAAAUAAAAUAUUGAUUUUAUUCAUUUAUUUUGAUAGCAUUAACUAAUUAGUUUAUUAAAACAGAUAUUAAUACAUUUAUCAAAAGAACAAACAUACUAAAAUAAAAUAAAAUUCAAAAAACAACAAAAGUGGUGCACACAUGCAAUGAGGUUUAGAAAAAGAAAAAGCACUUGACCUUAAGGCCCAACAACUUAAUAAAAUAAAAAGCAAAAGUCAAGGGUAUGAAAAAUAAUGGGGGUGUGUGGCUUAAUAUAAGGAUAAAUCCUAAAGUUGAGGCCCGAAAGCAAAUCAAAAGGAAAAAAGGCCAGGAACGUGUGUGGUCGUCUGACGAAGAUCAGACGACUUUGAUCAAAAGAAAGAUCAAAUAAAGGGGAGCAUUUUAGACCAAAGAAUCAAGAUUUUAGGUCCCAAAUUGCAGUGUUACUAUAGGGACUCCUAUACACGAGUAUCCUUGAGAUUGAUCAAUAGGCUCUGAUUUGGUCAGGGGGCAUUAGAGAAAAAACAAUAGUAGGUCAAAAUAGGGGAUCCAAUAGAUCUCUCCUCAUUUGCAACUAUUUUUCUCUUUCUUACCUCUAAUUCUCUCUCCGCUUUCUCACCUCGUGUUCUUCAUGUUCACGAAGAACACUCAACCCAUAAAUCUUUUAAGCACCCAGGUUAUAACUCGAUUUUUCAAGCUAACAACAUCCUAACAUUAAUCAAUUAGAACAAACUUCAUUAUGAACAUAAACUCAUCAAUCUGGAAAAUAAAGAAUGCAAAAACCUUAUAAACCAAAAUUUGUUUGGUUUGUGUGAAUUGAAGAAAAUUAAAGCAAGAAAUCAAAGGGAUAAUGUAAAAACAAACACAUGAGCACAUAUCGGACGAGAGAAUGCAAAAAAAAAAAGUGAAGAAGAGUACCUAAUCGGGAUUUUGGAUUUUCCAGAAUCCGGUGAACAUUCUGGUGAGGGAUGUGUUUUCCUGCAAGGUAUUCCCAAAUUCUGGCAACCUGCAAAUUUCUCAAACGGCUCCAAAUUUCAUAGUAAAUUCGUUUUUCAAUCCUUUUUGCUUUUUUCUGCUUCUGUUUUCUACUUCUAUUCCUUCUUCUUCUCAAAUCAAUUAACACUAUGGUUGACUCGUGAACUUUCUGUUUUUUAUUUGGAGGUCCAGCUCAAGGAAAAUGUAGAAGUAAAGGGGUGGUGACCUGAAGCAGUGAAGAAACGCUUCAAUGGUGGUGGAAAUCGCAGAUGGAUGUGACUCGGUUACUCAAAGUUUCUUCAUCAUAAAGAAGCUUUGUUUUCAGUUCUCUUUUCUUAUUUUGGUAAAAUUUGUGGUUGUAAAUUAUGUAUUAUCUCUUAGGCUUUAUAGUGCAAGAUUUUGUUAGAACUUCAAGUGCGUGGAGUAUGUACAGUGUGUGAGAUUUUUGGUGAGAAUUGAGAAAAAAUCAUUUGAAGUCUGUUGCAAAUGUGUGUGGAUUAGGAUGACGGAUUUGUGUGUCUAUAUAUGAGAGAGAGAGAGAGGAUUAUGUGGGAUUUGGAUAAGAAUAGUGUGAGGAGUGAGGAGAAAUUCGUGUGAGUUUGUUGUAAAUUUGUGUGAAUGUGUGAAGGCGAUGAAAGAGAGAUCAUUAUGAGCAUGUGAAGGUGGGAUUCCCUAGUCUAAACCAUGUGAAUUAAUUUGUUGUAAAAUUCAUGUGUAAUAGUGAUAUAUGUACAUGAUGGAAUGAAAUGUUUCAUUGACUUUUAUUUAACUUUUGGUGUACGUAUGUGACAAAUGGUAUGAUGUAAUGUAUUAUGUAUGUGACAAUCAAUAAAAUGUAAUAUUUUGUA